rnacentral:rRNA from 1 species
GAUGCCCUUAGAUGUUCUGGGCCGCACGCGCGCUACACUGAUGCGUUCAACGAGUAUACAACCUCGAUCGAUAGGUCUGGGUAAUCUUGUGAAUGCGCAUCGUGCUAGGGAUAGACUGUUGCAAUUUUCAGUCUUGAACGAGGAAUUCCUAGUAAACGCAAGUCAUCAGCUUGCAUUGAUUACGUCCCUGCCCUUUGUACACACCGCCCGUCGCACCUACCGAUUGAAUGACUCGGUGAAAAAUUGGGACCGUGAGUCUGUUUGCUUUAUUGCGAGUGGAUUGAUGGGAACUUUUUUAAACCUCGCCAUUUAGAGGAAGGUGAAGUCGUAACAAGGUUUCCGUAGGUGAACCUGCGGAAGGAUCAUUA